rnacentral:rRNA from 1 species
UUAGUGGGGAAUAACUGUUGGAAACGACAGCUAAUACCGCAUAAUAUUGCUGGAUAAUUUCCAGUAAUGAAAGGAGCUUUCAAGCUCCGCUGAUUGAUGAGGAUGCGGCGCAUUAGCUAGUUGGUAGGGUAAUGGCCUACCAAGGCAAUGAUGCGUAGCCGAUCUGAGAGGAUGAACGGCCACAUUGGGACUGAGACACGGCCCAAACUUCUACGGAAGGCAGCAGUAGGGAAUUUUUCACAAUGGGCGAAAGCCUGAUGGAGCAAUGCCGCGUGACUGAUGAAGGUCUUCGGAUUGUAAAGGUCUGUUGUAAGGGAAGAAAUGGUAAAACAGGAAAUGGUUUUAUCUAUGACGGUACCUUACCAGAAAGCCACGGCUAACUAUGUGCCAGCAGCCGCGGUAAUACAUAGGUGGCAAGCGUUAUCCGGAUUUAUUGGGCGUAAAGGGUGCGUAGACGGUUUUGCAAGUCUGANGUUAAAUUUAGGAGCUCAACUCCUAAUCGCCUUGNAAACUACAAGACUAGAGUAUANGAGAGGUUAGUGGAAUUCCAUGUGUAGCGGUGGAAUGUGUAGAUAUAU